GUGAACAUCGACACGGGGAUGUACGAGCCUGUUAACGGUGAAGGAACGAAUGAAGAGGCGCUAGCACGCUUCGCCAAGAUACUCUCCGACGAACGCAGGCUACGGCAGAGCAAACUCAGCUCCAACUAGCUCUUGUUCAUAGCUACCUUGGUGCUUGCCAACAAGUUCAGCACAUGGAGCUGGAGUUGCAAAGUGGAUGAGAAUGGGAUGGGCGGUAGGUGAAGUGCUGAUCAUAAGUUCUUUUUAGUAAUUAAUCAAGAAACGUACAUGAAAGCAAUAAACUUGUAAGCAUAGGGUGAUGUAAGUGCUAACGUCUGUAUUACACAAACAGAUUAGUUCUCUAUGUGCUGACAGAUGUUAUAUAUGAAACUUGAUCCUAACAUACAUAUAGGUAGCACUUGGUUUUGUUUUAAAAUCAGGUGUGACAACUGCAUCACCGUUGGAUGCGGCCUUGUAAUAAUAACACCAUGGCACAACUCCUCGUGGGGUAGAAGCUGUUUUUUGUUCAGUUGGCUAUUCCAAAAUGAUAUUGUUUCAACGAACCAACUAAUGUUACUAGAAUGCAGGCCUUGUAGUAAUAACUAAUCUCACUCGUUGAGCACGAUUAGCUUAGUUUAUUAUUACUCCGAUGCGGACACCUCAACCACUCCGAUAUUGUCCGAUGCGUCUUCAUUUUUUUAGGGAGGUACAAAUCCACCGGCGAGCAAAUCCAGAGCCAGGUAACGCCGAGCAACCAUACACCGUGCCUACCAUGCCGGGCGAAGCUAUUCACGUCGUGAUGCUCCCCUGGCUCGCCUUCGGCCAUAUCAGCCCGUUCGCGCAGCUGGCGCGGAAGCUGUUCUCCGUCGAGGGCGGGCACAACAUCCGCGUGACGUUCCUGACGGCCGACGGGAACCUGCCGCGCGUGCAGGCCAUGCUGGCGCCGGCCGCCGGCGCGGCGGCCGUCGUGCCGCUACACCUGCCCCACGUGCCGGGGCUACCCGAGGGAGCCGCCAGCACGGCCGAGCUCACGGCCGACGGCGCCGAGCUCCUCAAGGUCGCCUUCGACGGCACUCGGGACCAGGUGUCGGCGCUGUUGUCCGAGCUCCGCCCGGACGCCGCGCUGAUCGACUUCGCCACCCCGUGGGUCACCGACAUCGCCGCGCCUCUUGGCAUCAAGGUGCUCUACUUCAGCGUGUUCUCAGCCGUCGCCUCUACCUACACCGUCGUCCCGGCGCGCCGCCUCCAUGGGGCGGCCCCGUCGGCCGGUGACUUCACGGCCGCCCCUUCCGGUUUUCCCAAGGGCUCCGCGCUAGCCACCAUUCCGCCCUACCAGGCCGCCGACUUAACCUACCUGUUCACCAGCUUCUACGGCCAGCCCUGCGUCUACGACCGUGUGACCGCCGGCAUCAAGGCCUGCGAUGCCAUCGUGAUAAAGACCUGCGUGGAGAUGGAGGGCCCCUACAUAAGUUACCUCUCCGCCCAGUUCGGCAGGCCAGUGCUUCUCGCCGGACCCGUCGUGCCGGAGCCGCCGCAGGGCCAUCUCGAUGAGCGGUGGGCCAGCUGGCUCUCCUCGUUCCCGGAGAACUCCGUCGUCUUCGCCUCGUUCGGCAGCGAGACGUUCCUACCGACAGCGGCGGCGACAGAGCUUCUCCUCGGCCUCGAGGCCACCAACCGGCCGUUCCUCGCCGUGCUCAACUUCCCCAAGGGAGCCGACACGGAGGCGGAGCUCCGGGCACGGAUCCCGCCGGGGUUCGAGGAGAGGGUGAAGGGGAGAGGCGCGGUGCACACGGGGUGGGUGCAGCAGCAGCACAUCCUGCAGCACCAGAGCGUCGGGUGCUACUUGAACCACGCCGGGUUCAGCUCCGCCGUGGAGGGGCUCGUAGCCGGUUGCCGGCUGGUGCUGCUGCCGAUGAAGGGCGACCAGUACCUCAACGCGGCGCUGCUCGCGCGAGAGUUGCGGGUUGGGGUGGAGGUGGCGCGCCGCGACGAGGACGGCUGGUUCGGAGGCCAGGACGUGAGCGAUGCGGUUGCCUUGGCGAUGGCGGAGGGAGGGGAUAGGGACGGGAGGAAGUGGAGGGAGUUCUUGACGGACGACGCCGUUCAGAAGAGGUUCGCCGGGGACUUCGUCCGGCAGCUCAAAGAGCUCGUCAGGGCAGCCUGACUCUAGCUCGUAUGUGCAAAAAUAGUUUGCAUCCUCUGUUGCACGGAGUACGGUUACCUGAAUGUAUGCUGUGUAAUUCGCUUCUUUUACAGCACGUGGCUACAAGCACUAGAAGUCUGCAACCAAAAACUCCUUAUUAAAAUACAAGCCUGUUCUGAUGACCCAAAUUUACUCUCACCUAAUUGUUCUUAGCUUUGGUUGAAUCAUCAUAGUUCUUCGUUGUUUAGGCCAGUGUGUAUACAUAUGUAAAGGGAUUUAUCUGAUGUUACGAUACUUAUCACCACGUACGAACUUGCAACCAAUACUCUUCCAAUUAUAUUUUUUUAACAAAAAUAAUAACUGGGUCAUCAAUAAAGGAGACCAUCUAAUGGCAUCCGCAGAUUCGUCGAGGAGAGAGAGCGCGCCACGGAAGUAAUUAAAAACGUUGAAUCGAUUUAUACACCUAAUGUUUUUUUUGAUGAAAUAGGAGGGGAAAGACCCCUGGUUAUAUAUUAUAUAUAAAAAAAAGAACAAACAAAAGGUGCUAAACGGUUCAAGAAACAAAGAAAGAGAGAAAAAAGAUCAUAAAGAUUACAAUGUAUGUUCUAGCCAUUCUAUCAUCGGUUGCUUCCAAUCCUCUUUUACGCGUAGCAUAACCUGCGUAAACACAACUUUGAAUCGCGACAUGGCACUAUGAACCGAUGGAGUGAUGCCCUGAAAAAUCCAGUCAUUCCUUUCCAUCCAAAUACACCAGCUCAUGAGAAUAAUGACCUCCAUGAAGAAUUUGACUUGUAGUUGAAUUCUGAAGCUAUUUAGGAUACUAUAGGGCUCUUGUGUCAAAUCUGUAAACAGACUAAUAUUAAUCCAACAUUCUUGCGCAAAGGGACAUUCCAAGAUAAGGUGAAAUAAAGUUUCUUCUAUGUCAUGCAUGCAUAAGACACAAGAGUAAGAAGGCAACUCCAUAUGCUUCCUUCGAAGAACAUUCCGUGUACUCAAUCUGUCUUUAAGAAGUAACCAGAAAAAGAACUUGUGUUUGCUUUGGCAUUUUGAUUUCCAAAGCCACCGAAAAACUGGAUGAACAUACUGAUGUCCCUUUAGUGUCCGAUAUGCUUUGGAUGAGGAGAAGUGCUGAUUGCCCCAAAUAUAUGUCCAUCUGUCUUGCUCAUCAUUUGUGGAGAUAAGAUCCAAAUCAGCAGCCAAUUGUAGCAAUUGAUUCAUGGCCAGUGGAGUGAGGGGCAGGGUGAAGAGAUGUUGUAAAUUUGUUAGCACAUAUGCCUGCCUGACAGAUAUGUCAUCCUUUCUAGUAAAUGAGUAUAGUUGUGGAUAUUCUUGUGCAGGAAUCUUAUUGUUCCACAGGUCAUGCCAAAGUAAACAUGUUAGCCCAUUGCCCACUGUUACUGUCGCUUAACCUUUGAAUUUAUCAAUGAGUUUGACAAUGUCACGCCACCAAAAAGAACCUUUUCUUAUUCGUCCUGGUAGCCUACCAGUAGCAUAGUGGUUCUCCCAAAUCAUACACCAGUAUACACCUAAUGUUAUGGCGCAACCAAGGAGAACAUGGAGGCUCUGAUCAGGAUCGGCCAUGAGCUGCUCAAGAAGCCUGUGUCAAGAGUGAACAUCGACACGGGGAUGUACGAGCCUGUUAACGGUGAAGGAACGAAUGAAGAGGCGCUAGCACGCUUCGCCAAGAUACUCUCCGACGAACGCAGGCUACGGCAGAGCAAACUCAGCUCCAACUAGCUCUUGUUCAUAGCUACCUUGGUGCUUGCCAACAAGUUCAGCACAUGGAGCUGGAGUUGCAAAGUGGAUGAGAAUGGGAUGGGCGGUAGGUGAAGUGCUGAUCAUAAG
rnacentral:lncRNA from 1 species